UGAGCCUGGAAUCUUCCUCCGUCCCGAGGAGCAAACCCCGGGCUCCCCCGCCCCGGACUCCUGGCCCCCGCCACGCUCAAGGCAGCCUCUGGGGCCUCGGCUGUGUGGGAAGCCACCCCCAAAGGCGACCUGCGGCCUGAUGCCACUCACAGAGCACAGCGGAAAUGACAGAAUCUCAGACGUGGAGGGCGGCGCCGCCGGCAGGACACCAACCCUGCUUCCUAAAACGCAGAGGCACUGGGCCUUCGGCGCAUCUUUUGGGGGACAAUUUAACGCACAACAACCCAUGUGAAGCUCAUCUGCACCCACAGGGUGGCCCACGGCCCUUCAAGGCUGUCUGAACGCAUCCCCACCCUGGCACCUGCAGCUGAGGGGCUCCUCACAGCGGACCUCAGCCCCUGGACGUGGCUGCCUCACUCUAAGAUUUGGAAGUUCCUGAACACAGCAAGCCUUGUGGGUGAACAACAGGAGUCCUCCAAGGCAGUGACCUCGGACCGACGGUACCUCUUCAGCCUGAGCAUCUGGACAAGAAACCCUGAUGGAUCAGAUGACACAGAUCUUACAUAACACAGGGAGUUUCUUCCUUAAUCAAAUACCCCGCCAGGAAGAGGUGCGUGUGUCCAAAUCACCGGGGAUAUUCUCGCCCGUCAGAGCCACAGGAGGCUUUCCGCUGGAUUAUGUGUCUUUGUUUUUGGCUUAUCAGAAACUUCCUCUGAAAUCACUGGGGAAUUCAGAGCCUAGGAUGGGAGACGGAGAAACAGUGUUCCCCUAGGGGAAUUCCCUGAGAUUGGGUUAUCCCCUCCUGAGAGCAGCAUGGCAAUCGAUAACCUGAAUUAGUGAAAGAAAUGAACGGAAAAUAAAGAUCUGCUGUUCAGGCGGGGCGCAGUGGCUCACGCCUGUAAUCCCAGCACUUUGGGAGGCCGAGGCGGGUGGAUCACUUGAGGUCAGGAGUUCGAGACCAGCCUGGCCAAAAAGGUGAAACCUCCACUAAAAAUACAAAAACUUAGCCAGACAUAGUGGCAGGCGCCUGUAGUCCCAGCUACUCAGGAGGCUGAGGCAGGAGGAUCACUUAAGCCCGGGAGGCGGAGGUUGCAGUGAGCUGAGAUUACACCACUGCACUCCAGCCUGGGUGACAAAAAAUAAAAUAAAAUAAAAUAAAAUAAAAUCCGCUGUUCUCCCAAGGAGGGAAACACAAGGUGAAAGUGGUUGGGGGAGGCCAGGCGUGGUGGUUCACGCCUGUGAUCCCAGCACUGUGGGAAGCUGAAGUGGGCGGAUCACCUGAGGUUGGGAGUUCGAGAUCACCCUGACUAACAUGGAGAAACCCCCGUCUCUACUAAAAGUACAAAAUUAGUCAGGCAUGGUGGCGCAUGCCUGUCAUCCCAGCUACUUGGGAGGCUGAGGCAGGAGAAUCGCUUGAAUCCAAGAGGCAGAGGUUGCAGUGAGCUGAGAUCGCGCCACUGCACUCCAGCCUGGGCAACAAGAGUGAAACUCCGUUUCCAAAAAAAAAAAAAAAGAAAGAAAGAAAGAAAAAGGCCAGGCGUGGUGGCUCAGGUCUGCAAUCCCAGCACUUUGGGAAGCUGAGGCAAGUCGAUCACAUAAGGAGUUCAAGACCAGCCUGGCCAAGAUGGUGAAACCCCGUCUGUACUAAAAAUACAAAAAUUAGCCGGGUGUGGUGGCGCAUGUCUGUAAUCCCAGCUACUCUGGAGGCUGAGGCAGGAGAAUCACUUGAACCUGGGAGGUGGAGGUUGCAGUGAGCCAAGACCGUGCCACUGCCCUCCAGCCUGGGCAACAGAGUGAGACUCCAUCUCAAAAAAAAAAAAAAAAAAAAAAAAGGCAGGGGGUUGGAAGAAGACAGCGUGGGGUAGGGAGGACGGUGGAGUCCAGGACCCCGUUCCAGCCCCAGCUGCAGGGAGGACGGUGGAGUCCAGGACCCCGUUCCAGCCCCAGCUGCAGGGAGGACGGUGGAGUCCAGGACCCCGUUCCAGCUCUGGCCGCAAUCCUCGAGGCUGGGUGAUAUUCACAUCCUUCACUCUCUCUUCACCUCAAGUCUUUGUUGUAAACUGAGAAUAACCCUUUACUCAUUUCACAGAUAUUUUUCUUGGGACUUUCACUGUGCAGGGCUUCCAUAGGGAUGUUGGGGUUCAAUGGUUCACCAGGUGCCCACCACGGUCUCGCAGGCUGGAGGGACUCUUGAAGACUGAGUUAAGGGAAGUGGGAGUCCUGCACCCGCCCCAGAACUGGAAGGGUUCCCACUGGCUCUGGUUAUGUUGUCUUAAAGCAAUGGUGGCAGAGCUCUCUGAGGGCUCCGGGAGACGGGGCUCUGUUGGGAGGCUCUCCUCUCCUGAAGUGAAGGCAGAUGCUGGCCGGGGCUCCCCCAGGAUACCCGCUCGCAGGCCUGGCACUGGCUGCUGGGGGCCGGGCUGGCAUCACAUGCCUCCCCGGAUGACUGGGGCUUCUCCCACCAUAAGGGCUGGGCUCUAGGGGAGGGUCACCGCUGUUCAGAAUCUGGUCCUCAGCUUAAAAUACCCUCAGACUCCACUGUGUGGGGCAGGGCUCCCAGAAGAAAGCAGGCGUCCCCGCUUCCCUAGCCAGGGAGUCUGAGCCACUCUCGGCCACCACAGUCCAAGAAUCACGGUGUCCUUGCUCUUCCUCACAGGCUGCUCCCUCUGCCUGGGGUCCCCUCCCUCCCUUCCCACCACGGCCUGUCUGUCCCCCCAUUACCACUCCCUGGCUAAACCCCUCUACUUUUUCAGAGUUCAGUCUAAAUAAUGAUCAUUUCUGUAGGUUGGGUUCAUCCUCAUGGCACGCUGAAACCCAUGCAUCUCCUGCGUGGCAUUCCCACGAUGGCGACUGAACCCUGCUUGUGGCACUCCAGGCUCAGUGGCUGGCAGCCGUGCAGGUCCAAGCCUGGGUCCCGUAUCAGCUGUGCAACUCAGACAGUCGCUGGCACACAGCAGGUGCUCAGCACAGGCUUGUCUGCUGGAAAAGAAUGAAGGUACAACCACACAAGUGAGUAGGGGCUAAUCGAGUCACCCUGGAGGCUCCUCUACAAGCCAGAGACCAUCGCUAAGCUUACAACUGGCAAGAGAAAUUGCAGCCAAGGCCAGGUGAGGUGGCUCAUGCCUGUAAUCCCAGCCCUUCGGGAGGCCAAAGCGGGAGGAUAACCUGAGGUCCGGAGUUCAAGACCAGCCUGGCCAACGUGGUGAGACCCCCGUCUCUACUAAAAAUACAAAAAAAAAUUAGCCUGGCAUGGUGGCAGGCGCCUAUAGUCCCAGCUACUCAGGAGGCUGAGGCAGGACAAUCACUUGAACCUGGGAGGCGGAAGUUGCAGUGAGCUGAGAUCAUACCACUGCACUCUAGCCUGGGCAACAGGGUGAGACUCUGGCAAAAAAAAAAAAAAAAAAAAAAAGGCAGCCAAAUGAAAGAUUUUUUUUUUUUUUUAAUUUUGAGAUGGAAUCUCACCCUGUCACCCAGGCGGGAGUGCAGUGGCACAAUCUCAGCUCACUGCAACCUCCGCCUCCUGGGUUCAAGUGAUUCUCCUGCCUUAGCCUCCUGAGUAGCUGGGAUUACAGGCGUGCUCCACUGCAUCUGGCUAAUUUCUGCAUUUUUAGUAGAGAUGGGGUCUCACCACAUUGGCUAGGCUGUUCUCGAACUCCUGGCCUCAGGUGAUCUGCCCGCCUCGGUCUCCCAAAGUGCUGGGAUUACAGGCGUGAGCCACUGUGCCCAGCCACAAUUGAAAGUUUUUGUUUUUGUUUUUGUUUUUUUGAGAUGGAGUUUCACUCUCGUCACCCAGGCUGGAGUGCAAUGGCGCGAUCUUGGCUCACCACAAUCUCUGCCUCCCUGGUUCAAGCGAUUCUCCUUCCUCAGCCUCCCAAGUAGCUGGGAUUACAGGCAUGCACCACCACGCCGGGCUAAUUUUGUAUUUUUAGUAGAGAUGGUGUUUCACCACGUUGGUCAAGCUGGUCUUGAACUCCUGACCUCAGGUGAUCCGCCUGCCUCGGCCUCCCGAAGUGCUGGGACUACAGGCGUGAGCCACCGCGCCCGGCCCCAGUUGAAUGGUCUUAAUGGCUCUUUUUGCAAUUCUAGAACCAGGCACAGAUCAUUCUAUAAAACAGAACGAGGGCUCUGGCGUGCUGGGUAGAGGAGGUUGGUUUUGUAGACAGAAAGGGGCUGAGGAAGCAGACACAGAACAAAAAGCAGAUCGGUCAUUUCCAAGAGGUUUUCCUUGGAAGGUUCCAGCAGAGGGGACUUCCUCAUCAUGCCGGCAAGACCUGGCUUGUUUGGGGCUAUUCUCUGUCUCCUGGUUUCCUGGAAGGUGAGAUGAACAAGUUAGUUUUGGCUUGAUGACGUGGAGCUCUAGCACGAGUGGCUGCGUUUUGGUCUGUUCUGCCAGGCCUCCUGCAGGAGCUCAGGCCAGACCAGUGGCCUCCUACGAAUUUUAUCAAACGCGACUCAGACGAUGCCGUUCAGGCAAGGUUGAGAACCAAGCCCAGCACUGCCUGGUCCAGCCCCUGGGAAGGAAGGCAGGGCCGGGAGCCCCUCCUGCCGCCAGCAGCGACCCUGUCUCGGAAGGUUGUCUUUUCAGGGACGCUUGUACAGCAGACAGCCUUGGAAGAAAGAGAGAGAGUCUCACUCAGGAGCUCAGGACAGGUGCAGAUGAAGGACAGAACUCAAAGCCAUCCCUCUGCUCCCCUGAGACAAACGCAUAUCUGACUGCUUCCUCGGCCCUGUUGUCUCACUGAGCCAGACUAAGGCACACGUGGCCCUUCCCCUACCCCCUCUCACAUGUGGAUUGUGUAUUCAGUGAAAGGCUGAUCAGAGACUCAUAGAAUGCAACCAUCUAUUGCUUAUCAACAUUAACUGGAAGCCGCUGCUUCGAGUUGUCUCAAGUUGUCCUGCCUUUCUAGACCAAACCAAUGUACAUCUUACAUAUGUAUAUAUUUUAAUAUUUAUUUAUUUAUUUUGAGUUGGAGUCUUGCUCUGUUGCCCAGGCUGGAGUGCAAUGGUGUGAUCUUGGCUCACUACAACCUCCAUCUCCCAGGUUCAAGCGAUUCUCC
rnacentral:lncRNA from 1 species